GACGGGGGGGCAAGUGUUCUUCGGAAUUACUGGGCGUAAAGGGUUCGUAGGCGGUGUGGCAAGUCGGGAGUGAAAUCUCUGGGCUUAACUCAGAGGCUGCUUCCGAAACUGCCGUGCUAGAGUGCGGGAGAGGCGAGUGGAAUUGCAGGUGUAGCGGUGAAAUGCGUAGAUAUCUGCAGGAACACCCGUGGCGAAGGCGGCUCGCUGGACCGCAACUGACGCUGAGGAACGAAAGCUAGGGGAGCAAACAGG
rnacentral:rRNA from 1 species